GAUGAAGAACGCAGCGAAAUGCGAUCAGUAAUGUGAAUUGCAGAAUUCAGUGAAUCAUCGAAUCUUUGAACGCACAUUGCGCCCCCUGGUAUUCCGGGGGGCAUGCCUGUUCGAGCGUCAUUUCACCACUCAAGCCUCGCUUGGUAUUGGGCAACGCGGUCCGCCGCGUGCCUCAAAUCGACCGGCUGGGUCUUCUGUCCCCUAAGCGUUGUGGAAACUAUUCGCUAAAGGGUGUUCGGGAGGCUACGCCGUAAAACAACCCCAUUUCUAAGGUUGACCUCGGAUCAGGUAGGGAUACCCGCUGAACUUAAGCAUAUCAAUAAGCGGAGGA
rnacentral:misc_RNA from 1 species